UACGUAGGGUGCGAGCGUUGUCCGGAAUUAUUGGGCGUAAAGAGCUUGUAGGCGGUUUGUCGCGUCUGCUGUGAAAAUCCGGGGCUCAACCCCGGACUUGCAGUGGGUACGGGCAGACUAGAGUGUGGUAGGGGAGACUGGAAUUCCCGGUGUAGCGGUGAAAUGCGCAGAUAUCGGGAGGAACACCAGUAGCGAAGGCGGCACUCUGGGCCGUGACUGACGCUGAGGAGCGAAAGCGUGGGUAGCAAACAGG
rnacentral:rRNA from 1 species